AUUGAACGCUGGCGGCAUGCCUUACACAUGCAAGUCGAACGGUAACGGGCCUUCGGGUGCCGACGAGUGGCGAACGGGUGAGUAAUACAUCGGAACGUGCCCGAUCGUGGGGGAUAACGAGGCGAAGGCUUUGCUAAUACCGCAUACGAUCUACGGAUGAAAGCAGGGGACCGCAAGGCCUUGCGCGGACGGAGCGGCCGAUGGCAGAUUAGGUAGUUGGUGGGAUAAAAGCUUACCAAGCCGACGAUCUGUAGCUGGUCUGGGAGGAUGAUCAGCCACACUGGGACUGAGGCACGGCCCAGACUCCUACGGGAGGCAGCAGUGGGGAAUUUUGGACAAUGGGCGCAAGCCUGAUCCAGCCAUGCCGCGUGCAGGAUGAAGGCCUUCGGGUUGUAAACUGCUUUUGUACGGAACGAAAAGCCUUCUUUUAAUACAGGAGGGUCAUGACGGUACCGUAAGAAUAAGCACCGGCUAACUACGUG
rnacentral:rRNA from 1 species